rnacentral:rRNA from 1 species
GUUCAUAACCCUUUGUUGUCCGACUCUGUUGCCUCCGGGGCGACCCUGCCUUCGGGCGGGGGCUCCGGGUGGACACUUCAAACUCUUGCGUAACUUUGCAGUCUGAGUAAACUUAAUUAAUAAAUUAAAACUUUUAACAACGGAUCUCUUGGUUCUGGCAUCGAUGAAGAACGCAGCGAAAUGCGAUAAGUAAUGUGAAUUGCAGAAUUCAGUGAAUCAUCGAAUCUUUGAACGCACAUUGCGCCCCCUGGUAUUCCGGGGGGCAUGCCUGUUCGAGCGUCAUUUCACCACUCAAGCCUCGCUUGGUAUUGGGCAACGCGGUCCGCCGCGUGCCUCAAAUCGACCGGCUGGGUCUUCUGUCCCCUAAGCGUUGUGGAAACUAUUCGCUAAAGGGUGUUCGGGAGGCUACGCCGUAAAACAACCCCAUUUCUAAGGUUGACCUCGGAUCAGGUAGGGAUACCCGCUGAAC